GGAGAAUUUCAGGAUAUUAUUAAAAUACACUUAAUUAAAGUAUUAUUAUAUUUUUUACAAUAUUAAUAAAUCCGUAUUUUUUGCCGAACUCGAAAGUAAAUAACCGUCAUAAACACAAUUUGUAUUAACUCUUGGAUUUUCCUACUUUAUCUAAAAAGUACAGAGUUAUGGAAUAAAAUAAGACAAUCUCGAUAAAUUUCGAGAAGAUUAGUGUAAACGAUUUCCAUGCGGUACAGAAAGAAAAAAGAACCAGUAAUUUAAAGUUUCAUUUGACUUAAUACUGCAGUAUUAAUUGGGAUUAAAAUAUUAUGCUGUUAUAAUACAAAAUCAAACCACCGACCGACGGGAUUAUAAGGGUUAAACUAUUAAUAUUAUUAUAGUUAAUGUCCUAACUUAAAUUUUGUUCUAUAAGAUUUAAUACGAAAUUAACGCGGUUAUAACCGUUUUACAUGCAAACUAUCGAAACCAAAACGUCGUUCAUAAAAAAAUUAAAAACUAAACAAAUCAUAAUGUCCAGACAUACGCCAC